rnacentral:rRNA from 1 species
UACAGAGGGGGCAAGCGUUGUUCGGAAUUACUGGGCGUAAAGGGCGCGUAGGCGGCCAUUUAAGUCAGACGUGAAAUCCCCGGGCUCAACCCGGGACUGCGUCUGAUACUGGAUGGCUUGAAUCCGGGAGAGGGAUGUGGAAUUCCAGGUGUAGCGGUGAAAUGCGUAGAUAUCUGGAGGAACACCGGUGGCGAAGGCGGCAUCCUGGACCGGUAUUGACGCUGAGGCGCGAAAGCCAGGGGAGCAAACGGG